CAAAUCACACAGCAAUGGUCCGUCCCGUUCUACAUUUCGAAUUGGGGAGUUCUGGUUUCCUAAGGAUUGAGUAUACAGGGAAGCAACAAGAAUUCCUAGUCUGAUUCUCGAGAAAAAGAAAUAUGGCCAAAGAAUAUCUAUGUUUGUGUCACGUGGUAGUGGUCUUCUCGGCAACUCUGGCUUCACAAGCUAAGGCAUUUACCAAUCCACUCAAAGGGUGCAACCUCUAUCUCUUGCUUAGGCGGACUUACACCACACCGAUAGCCUUUGGGCUUUAUUUCAAGGGCCUAUUGUCGAGUUUCGGCUUGGCUACCCCAUAUUCUAUUUAGGAACAUCAAAAUUUUCCCCUCAACAACAUGUUGCUAAGGCUUAUGUCUUUGGAGUUAGGGAAUCAAGGAAUUUGAUUGAUACUGCCUUUUUUUCUUGACUACUUGUUUAGCUCAUCCCAAAAUGACUGUUUUUCUUUUGUACUCUGAAGCUCAACAGAGAAAGAGUAGAGGCUUAGAAGGAAAGGAAGAAGGAGAAGAGGAGGAGGAGGAAAGAGAAGGGGAGAUGGUGAGGUUGGGCAGAAAAUGCAGAAAUAUAAACAUAGGCACAAGGAUGGCAGGAACAAUGUUCAUUUUUCAUGUUUAUAAAUUAUAUAUAUUGCUUCCUGUAGUACAGUCAUGGUCUGCCUGCUCAAUUCAAUUAUCUACAUUGUCUAUGGUCAAUACUUCAAGAUGUUUCUCCCCCUCUUCUUUGGGUUUGCAUCAAUUUAUUUAUGUGUGAUGUAUGUUUUAUUCUAGAAUUAUUAUUUUUUUG